GACGAACGCUGGCGGCGUGCUUAACACAUGCCAGUCGAACGGAAAGGCCCUGCUUGCCGGGUACUCGAGUGGCGAACGGGUGAGUAACACGUGGGUGAUCUGCCCUGCACUUCGGGAUAAGCCUGGGAAGCUGGGUCUAAUACCGGAUAGGAGCCAUUUUUAGUGUGAUGGUUGGAAAGUUUUUUCGGUGUAGGAUGAGCUCGCGGCCUAUCAGCUUGUUGGUGGGGUAAUGGCCUACCAAGGCGGCGACGGGUAGCCGGCCUGAGAGGGUGGACGGCCACAUUGGGACUGAGAUACGGCCCAGACUCCUACGGGAGGCAGCAGUGGGGAAUAUUGCACAAUGGGCGCAAGCCUGAUGCAGCGACGCCGCGUGGGGGAUGACGGCCUUCGGGUUGUAAACUCCUUUCGCUAGGGACGAAGCUUUUUGUGACGGUACCUAGAUAAGAAGCACCGGCUAACUACGUG
rnacentral:rRNA from 1 species